UUUCCGUAGGUGAACCUGCGGAAGGAUCAUUACAGAGUUCAUGCCCUCACGGGUAGAUCUCCCACCCUUGAAUAUUUAUACCUUAGUUGCUUUGGCAGGCCGUGGAAACACCAUGGGCUCCGGCUUAUGCGUGCCUGCCAGAGGAAACAAACUCUGUUUUUAGUAAUGUCUGAGUACUAUAUAAUAGUUAAAACUUUCAACAACGGAUCUCUUGGUUCUG
rnacentral:misc_RNA from 1 species